GCAACAUUUUUUUCUCCCGUUUGGCUCGCUCCGCCCAAGCCGCCCUAGCCGCCUCUACAUCUGCUCGGCGCUCCUGCUCCUUGCCUUCGGUCGUGUAUUCUCCUCAGCCUUCGCGUUUCGCUCUAGUGUGGCGAUGCCCUAGCAGCCUCCCCAUCUGCUCGGGCUCCAGCGGUCCGGGAUCUGGCUCGUCUGCUUGGGCGAGGCUCUAGCCGUCGAUCGUGUGUAUGCUUAGCUUCCUUGCCUGGUUCCGAGGGGAGUUUUCUUAACCUUUCUUGUUUCAUUCCUACUGUUUUUGGAUUUCUUUUCUUCUGAUUUGUGCAAUGACGGAAGCCUUUAAAUGUCGCCUGAUUUUAUUGAUGGUAAGAAUCCUUCUAAAUCGUUCAAGGAUGUUGUUUCUGAUUCUGAUUCCCUAAUACUUUUCCGGAUCUCAAAGAAACUACUCUUUGGGAUUUGACAGUUUUGUGGAUCUCGGAGGAAGAAGUGUUGCAUCUUGCAAACACUUUGAUUUAGCAUUGGUUGAUAAGUCUCCUUUACGCAGAGCCGUGAUUGAUUUCAUUUCCAUUUUUUUUUUUUCAACUUGAAGCUUACUGGUGCAUUUUCGAUUACCUUGUUGGAUCACCGUUAUGUGCUGAUUAAGCUAUCGAAUGAUCUUGACUAUGAGAUCUUGGAGCAAUUGCGGGAGUUGUAUAUGUUCUAUUUUGCAACCAUUGCAAUUUCGGUGACCCCAACGGCAGGAUUUUAUGGCUAAGGUUUUGUUUGAGAUAAUUUUUUUAUUAUUUUGUUUUUCAAACGGUAAUCACAGUUUAUAUUUGUCCGUUAUUUUUUCAUUGAAUUCUAGAAAAUUAUAUGUUAGAAAUUUGCUUUCUAUGAUAACUUAAAAAAAAAAUAUUUUCUUCA